rnacentral:rRNA from 1 species
GACGAACGCUGGCGGCGUGCCUAAUACAUGCAAGUAGAACGCUGAAGGAGGAGCUUGCUUCUCUGGAUGAGUUGCGAACGGGUGAGUAACGCGUAGGUAACCUGCCUGGUAGCGGGGGAUAACUAUUGGAAACGAUAGCUAAUACCGCAUAAUAGUAGAUGUUGCAUGACAUUUGCUUAAAAGGUGCAAUUGCAUCACUACUAGAUGGACCUGCGUUGUUUUAGCUAGUUGGUGGGGUAACGGCUCAACAAGGGGACGAAACAUAGCCGAGCAGAGGGGGUGGACGGCCACACGUGGACUGAGACACGGCCCAGACUCCUACGGGAGGCAGCAGUAGGGAAUCUUCGGAAAUGGACGGAAGUCUGACCGAGCAACGCCGCGGGAGGGAAGGAGGGUUUCGGGUCGGAAAGCUCUGUUGUAAGGGAAGAACGAGUGUGAGAGUGGAAAGUUCACACUGUGACGGUAUCUUACCAGAAAGGGACGGCUAACUACGUG